UCCUGGAUAGCUCAGUUGGUUAGAGCAUGGUGCGGACAACGCCAAGGCCGCAGGUUCCAUCCAGCUGCGUAUUCCUGCAUUGCAGGGG